rnacentral:rRNA from 1 species
UACGAAGGGGGCUAGCGUUGCUCGGAAUCACUGGGCGUAAAGGGUGCGUAGGCGGGUCUUUAAGUCAGGGGUGAAAUCCUGGAGCUCAACUCCAGAACUGCCUUUGAUACUGAGGAUCUUGAGUUCGGGAGAGGUGAGUGGAACUGCGAGUGUAGAGGGUGAAAUUCGUAGAUAUUGGGAAAGAACACCGACGGGCGAAGGCAG